UGCCAGUGUGUGUGUGUGUGUGUGUAUCUGUGUGUCACACACACACACACACACACACACACACACACUGGCACA